UUGCGAGCAAUGCGUUGCUGUUAGAGUUGGGCACGCCAGAGCCCAGCAAUGGUGCUGACGGCAAGAACCCGAGGUUGGCCUACUCUAGCAUGUCAAGCAAGGACGAGGAACUCAGCAAAAUCACCGCGAGCUAUCGGGAGAAGGCAACGG
rnacentral:rRNA from 14 species